UACGAAGGGGGCUAGCGUUGCUCGGAAUCACUGGGCGUAAAGCGCACGUAGGCGGAUUGUUAAGUCAGGGGUGAAAUCCUGGAGCUCAACUCCAGAACUGCCUUUGAUACUGGCGAUCUCGAGUCCGGGAGAGGUGAGUGGAACUGCGAGUGUAGAGGUGAAAUUCGUAGAUAUUCGGAAGAACACCAGUGGCGAAGGCGGCUCACUGGCCCGGUUCUGACGCUGAGGUGCGAAAGCGUGGGGAGCAAACAGG
rnacentral:rRNA from 1 species